UUGAAAGGGAAACGAUUGAAGUCAGUCGUACUGAUAGGAAUCAACUUCUCGAGUGCUUGUNGUGGAUGACGUUGAGCUUCACGGCCUUCGUUGCUUACGUUAUGGUGCUUUUGAGGUGUACUUUCCGUAUGGUAGGUCAACAUCGAUUUUGAUCGUCAUAAAAUGAUCGGAGGAAUGUGGCUCUGAUCUCGUAUCGGAGUGUUAUAGCCUUUGGUAGAUGUGACGAUUGGGAUCGAGGAUUGCAACGAAUACCCUUUUGGGCUAUCCGUCUGACCUCUGAAAGUCGCUCGGGUGUUGAAAGCGUGCUUAUGACAUUCUAGUUGGCGGUCAAAAGGUUAGAACGUGAUUACAUUCGUUAAGGAUGUUGACGUA
rnacentral:rRNA from 1 species